GACGAACGCUGGCGGCGUGCCUAAUACAUGCAAGUAGAACGCUGAAGGCGGAGCUUGCUUCUCUGGAUGAGUUGCGAACGGGUGAGUAACGCGUAGGUAACCUGCCUGGUAGCGGGGGAUAACUAUUGGAAACGAUAGCUAAUACCGCAUAAGAGUAGAUGUUGCAUGACAUUUGCUUAAAAGUUUCAGUUGCAUCACUACCAGAUGGACCUGCGGUGUAUUAGCUAGUUGGUGGGGUAACGCCUCACCAAGGCGAGGAUACAUAGCCGACCUGAGAGGGUGAGCGGCCGGACUGGGACGGGGACACGGCCCAGAGGGCUAGGGGAGGCAGCAGUAGGGAAUCUUGGGCAAGGGACGGAAGUCUGAGCGAGAAACGCCGCGGGAGUGAAGAAGGUUUUCGGAUCGGAAAGCUCUGUUGUAAGGGAAGAAAGAGUGUGAGAGUGGAAAGUUCACACUGUGACGGUAUCUUACCAGAAAGGGACGGCUAACUACGUG
rnacentral:rRNA from 1 species